UACAGAGGUCUCAAGCGUUGUUCGGAUUCAUUGGGCGUAAAGGGUGCGUAGGCGGCGCGGUAAGUCGGGUGUGAAAUCUCGGAGCUUAACUCCGAAACUGCAUUCGAUACUGCCGUGCUUGAGGACUGGAGAGGAGACUGGAAUUUACGGUGUAGCGGUGAAAUGCGUAGAUAUCGUAAGGAAGACCAGUGGCGAAGGCGGGUCUCUGGACAGUUCCUGACACUGAGGCACGAAGGCCCAGGGGAGCAAACGGG
rnacentral:rRNA from 1 species